rnacentral:lncRNA from 1 species
UCUCAGCAGUCUACCGGACAGCACUCCACAAGUGCACUGAUUCGGACCCAACCUCAGUCUGAGUUGUCUCAACCGGUCAAACAACUUGUCCCAGAUCCACCAGAUGCCCCCUUUCUGCUCGGGACUUUGCUAUCAUGUCAUCAACAUAGUAUUUGGUUCCACGAUGAAUCAUAUCAUGAAACAAAGUCACUCUGAUACGUGGCACUGGUGUUCUGCUUCACCAGAGGACAGUC